UACGUAGGGUGCAAGCGUUGUCCGGAAUACUGGGCGUAAAGCGCGUGUAGGCGGCUUGGCAAGUCGGGUGUGAAAGCCCUGGGCUCAACCUAGGAAGUGCACUCGAAACUGCCUCGCUGGAGUGCCGGAGAGGAAAGCGGAAUUCUCGGUGUAGAGGUGAAAUUCGUAGAUAUCGAGAGGAACACCGGUGGCGAAGGCGGCUUUCUGGACGGUUACUGACGCUGAGACGCGAAAGCGUGGGGAGCAAACAGG
rnacentral:rRNA from 1 species